CGCGGGGUGGAGCAGUUCGGUAGCUCGCUGGGCUCAUAAUCCAGAGGUCGCAGGUUCGAAUCCUGUCCCCGCUA
rnacentral:tRNA from 1 species